GUGAAUUCCUACUGUAAGUCGCUCUGAAUAAGAGUGUCUGCUAAAUGACUAAAA
rfam:Salmo salar isolate Sally breed double haploid chromosome ssa24, whole genome shotgun sequence.